CCUUGGAGCAGAGAGGAGAGUGAGAGGGGAGCUUCUUCAUGCUGCUGCUGCUGUGCUUCUUCUUCCUCUCCUUCUACUUCCCUUAGCAACCUAGAGUGUUGGAGGAGCUCAAGAGAAGCUCGAGCUUCGUCGACGACGCGCCGCGGAGCGGAUCGAGCGAGUUUUCGACGAGGUGACGCUGCGAGGAGGCCGUGUUACAGCCGAUCCUUGCCAUCCUCGACGAGGUGCUGCUCGCAGGGAGGGUUUGUCGAGAGUUUUGACUCGUAUUCCGCGCAGGAGCAUCGGAACGUGACGCGACUUGAUUCGUUGGAACCGAGACUUCGAGACGAAUCCAUAGGAUCCUUACUCGCCCGAUUUGGAGAAGCAUCGACCCGCCGUGUUUUACCUAGUUCUCUGUGUAGAAGUGUCAAAACGCGACGAAAUUUGGCGUGCUAGAUUCGCGACUUCGAGACGAAGAUUCUGAGCCCAAGAUCGCGAUUUUUGGAGCAGGUUCCAGCGUCGACGUUUCGUAUUCUGGCCCGUUCUCUGCGUAGGAGCGUCGGAAUUCAGCGAAACCUGGGCCAUUGGAUUCGUGACUUCGAGACGAAGCUUCAGAACCCUUGUUUGCUGAAUUUGGAUAAGCAGGAGAACCGGGGACUUCGACGGACCAGCGAGGGAUCAAUUUGGAUCCGGGCCACUUUCUUCGCUGCCAGGAGUUGCUUGAGAGGGCCUUCUGUUUCGGCUGCUGCUCCUUCUGAGGCGGACCGCGGGAAAGGCGUGGCGAGUUAGAGCCUACCCUUCGAGUACAGUGCUAGAGGACUCCCGCUGCAGGUAGUGACAGUUUUUGUUCGGGCGCUUUUGUACAUACAGUUGAACUCGCUGGAGCGAGUAGUGUUCUUUUGUAUCCGUGGCUGAUGUAGGUAUAUAAAGUUUGUUAUUUCUA